UACGUAGGUGGCAAGCGUUGUCCGGAUUUACUGGGUGUAAAGGGCGCGUAGGCGGGACUGCAAGUCAGAUGUGAAAUGCAGAGGCUCAACCUCUGAGCUGCAUUUGAAACUGUAGUUCUUGAGUAUCGGAGAGGCAGGCGGAAUUCCUAGUGUAGCGGUGAAAUGCGUAGAUAUUAGGAGGAACACCAGUGGCGAAGGCGGCCUGCUGGACGACAACUGACGCUGAGGCGCGAAAGCGUGGGGAGCAAACAGG
rnacentral:rRNA from 1 species